rnacentral:rRNA from 1 species
UACGGAGGGUGCAAGCGUUAUCCGGAUUCACUGGGGUUAAAGGGGGCGUAGGUGGGCUGGUAAGUCAGUGGUGAAAUCUCCAGGCUUAACUUGGAAACUGCCAUUGAUACUAUCAGUCUUGAAUACCGUGGAGGUCAGCGGAAUAUGUCAUGUAGCGGUGAAAUGCUUAGAUAUGACAUAGAACACCAAUUGCGAAGGCAGCUGGCUACACGAAUAUUGACACUGAUGCACGAAAGCGUGGGGAUCAAACAGG